CCCCCGUCUGGAGCAAGGCCCAGACGGUGGGCUCGUCAGCAAGCGCCUGGUGGCCGGGUUUGCCACGGAGCUCGCCGGCCACAGCACA